AAAUCAGCUGACAGUCUGAUGGGAGCUCCUUUGUAGGUAACUAACUGUUUUUCUCUUGCUGCUUUUAAGAUUCUCUAUUUAUCUUUCACUUUUAACAACUUAAUUACAAUGUAUCUUGCUGUGGGUCUCUUUGGAUUCAUCUUAUUUGGAAAUCUCUGUGCUUCCUGGACUUGGAUGUCUGUUUCCGUUGCCAAGUUAGGAAAGUUUUCAGCCAUUAUUUCUUCAGAUGGGUUUUCUGUCCCUU